UUACGGUCACAUCAGAUUGAAACACCGGUUCCCGUACGAUCGCCGAAAUUAAGCAAAUUCGAGCCUGGUCAAUACCUAGAUGGGUGAUCACUUGUGAAUACCAG